rnacentral:lncRNA from 1 species
GAGGGCUCCGCGCAUGCAGGAAGACCACCCUAAGGGAAGAAUCAUGGGAAAGAGGCAGAAAAUUAAAACUGGAUUGCUACCUGGUGCUUCCAUACACUGAAAAGAAAGAACACUCCAAUCUGCCAGCCUUACGAUGUUGGGAAAACGCAUCAAACAGUGCUAAGGUUUUAAGCAUGGAGAAUAUAAUCCAGUUGUAAAGCUAUUAACCCAGAAAAGAUGUCACAUGAAAGUCUGUAAAUAUGAACCACACUCUACUGCCCAGUGAUGGAGAAACCUACUGACUGUGGUGCGCAGAUUCCUAAGACGCCCUCAUGGUAUCCAUGUCCGCAUCAUCUCCUCCCCCUUGAGAGUGGGCUGAACCUGUGACUGGCCUCUAACCAACAGGCUAUCGUGAAGCAGCAAGCCUCCAUCAGUUCUGCAGCUACAAGAAAAUGAGUUCUGCCAACAACCAAGUGAGCACUGAAGAGGACCCUGAGCAUCAGAGGACAGCCUAGCCCUGGCCAAUGCCUUCAUUGCAGCACUGUGAGACCCGAACAAAAGAUCCAGCUAAUGCAUGUUCAGAAUUCUGAUUCCAGGAAACUGUGGAAUAAUAAAUGCUCCUAUGUUAAGCUGCUAAGUGUGUGGUAAUGUUUUUACUCAGCAAUAGAAAACUACUGCUGGAU